AUAAGAAAUACAAUGACUAAGAAAAAGAAGAGGAAGAGGACUCGUUAAUACAUGUAAAGACUGACAUGAAUGUACAGGAAAGAAGGAACCCUAAGCAAAGCAUGGAAGAAAAGAAAAGAACCUGAAUGUUGAUAAUAAUUAAUAUAUCUUAUUACAAUGACUUUCAUCAAACAAUAUUCGGCUGCUUUUGCCAUUGUGUACAACCAUUACCAUGACUAAAAGAUAGCAGAAAUCAUUUUACCGUAAUACUUUUGCAUAAGUUUAUUAAAUAUUUUUUUCUCUCCUUUGGCUACCCAUAUAGCAAGGUCAUAUUCUGGUCUGUGAUUGUUUACCUUCACGUCCAUUUUGAAUAUGGUGUAUAUAAUAUGUCGCCCAUUUUGUCUCAAAUGAGUCUAUUAUUUUAAUGUAUAUAAAUACUUUGUGGAGAAUCUUUGUCAGGAAUGAUUACCAACAUGAAUACAUUACCAUUACUUUCAUAUUUAACUAAAUUCUAAGAAAAUACA